AUACGUAGGUGGCGAGCGUUAUCCGGAAUUAUUGGGCGUAAAGAGGGAGCAGGCGGCACUAAGGGUCUGUGGUGAAAGAUCGAAGCUUAACUUCGGUAAGCCAUGGAAACCGUAGAGCUAGAGUGUGUGAGAGGAUCGUGGAAUUCCAUGUGUAGCGGUGAAAUGCGUAGAUAUAUGGAGGAACACCAGUGGCGAAGGCGACGAUCUGGCGCAUAACUGACGCUCAGUCCCGAAAGCGUGGGGAGCAAAUAGGAUUAGAUACCCUAGUAGUCCACGCCGUAAACGAUGAGUACUAAGUGUUGGGAGUCAAAUCUCAGUGCUGCAGUUAACGCAAUAAGUACUCCGCCUGAGUAGUACGUUCGCAAGAAUGAAACUCAAAGGAAUUGACGGGGGCCCGCACAAGCGGUGGAGCAUGUGGUUUAACUCGAAGCAACGCGAAGAACCUUACCAGGUCUUGACAUCGAUCUAAAGGCUCCAGAGAUGGAGAGAUAGCUAUAGAGAAGACAGGUGGUGCAUGGUUGUCGUCAGCUCGUGUCGUGAGAUGUUGGGUUAAGUCCCGCAACGAGCGCAACCCCUGUUGCCAGUUGCCAGCAUUAAGUUGGGGACUCUGGCGAGACUGCCGGUGACAAGCCGGAGGAAGGCGGGGAUGACGUCAAAUCAUCAUGCCCCUUAUGACCUGGGCUACACACGUGCUACAAUGGACAGAGCAGAGGGAAGCGAAGCCGCGAGGUGGAGCGAAACCCAUAAAACUGUUCUCAGUUCGGACUGCAGUCUGCAACUCGACUGCACGAAGAUGGAAUCGCUAGUAAUCGCGAAUCAGCAUGUCGCGGUGAAUACGUUCUCGGGCCUUGUACACACCGCCCGUCACACCAUGAGAGUCGGUAACACCCGAAGCCGGUGGCCUAACCGCAAGGAAGGAGCUGUCUAAGGUGGGACUGAUGAUUGGGGUG
rnacentral:rRNA from 1 species